rnacentral:tRNA from 1 species
GGAAAAAUGGCCGAGUGGCUGAAGGCGGCACCCUGCUAAGGUGUUAGGUGGAGUAAUCUGCCUCGAGGGUUCGAAUCCCUCUUUUUCCG